rnacentral:lncRNA from 1 species
AAAAUGCCUAAGCUGCACAAGCCUAAGCCGCACACGCCUAAGCCGCAGCAGUCAAGCAUUCCUACAGGACUUCCUCCAACAGGAUCUUGCUUCAAGUGCCAGAAAUCUGGCCACUGGGCCAAGGAAUGCCCGCAGCCCGGAAUUCCUCCCAAGCCAUGUCCCAUCUGUGCAGGGACCCACUGGAAAUCAGACUGCCCAGCUCUCCCGGCAGCCACUUCUAGAGCCCCUAAAGCUCUAGCCCAAGGCUCUCUGACUGACUCCUUCCCAGAUCUGCUCGGCUUAGUGGUUGAAGACUGAUGCGGCCUGAUCACCUUGGAAACCCCCUGGACCAUCACGGAUGCCGAGCUUCGGGUAACUCUCACAGUGGAGGGCUAUACAGGAGGCAUGGCACCAGCAUCUGCUCAGCUUCUGGGGAGCCCUCAGGAAGCUUCCAAUCAUGGUGGAAGGUGAAGAGGGAGCUGUCAUCUCACAUCGUGAGAGCAGGAACAAGAGUCUGAGGGACUUCUACACUGCUGGUGUGAAUGUAAACUAGUACAACCACUACGGAAAACAGUGUGGAGAAAAGUAGAACUACAAUUUGAUCCAGCAAUCCCACUACUGGGCAUCUACCCAGAGGAAAAGAAGUCAUUAUAUGAAAAAGAUACUUGCACAUGCAUGUUUAUAGCAGCGCAAUUUUCAAUUGCAAAAACGUGGAACCAACCCAAAUGCCCACCGAUUAACAAGUGGAUAAAGAAACUGUGGUGUAUAUAUGAUAGAAUACUACUCAGCCAUAAAUGGAAUGAAUUAAUGGCAUUUACAGUGACCUGGAUGAGACUGGAGACUAUUAUUCUAAGUGAAGUAACUCAGGGAUGGAAAACCAAACAUCAUAUUCUUUCACUCCUAUGAGGAUGCAAAGGUAUAGGAAUGACACAAUAGACUUUGGGGACUCAGGGGAAAGGUGGGAAGGGGGUGAGGGAUAAAAGACUACAAAUUGGGUGCAGUAUGUACUGCUUGGGUGAUGGGUGCACCAAAAUCUCACAAGUCACCACCAAAGAACUUACUCAUGUAAUCAAAUACCAUCUGCUCCCCAAUAACGUACGGAAAUAAAAAAAAUUAAAAAAAAGAGUCUGAAGGGGAAGAUGCCACACACUCUUAAACAGCCAGAUCUUGCAAUAACUCACUCACUAUUGCAAGGAUAGCAUGAAGAGGACGGCGCUAAACCAUUCUUGAGAAAUCCACCUCCAUGAUACAAUCACCUCCCACCACGGCCCACCUCCAACACUGGGGAUUACAAUUUAACGUGAGACGUAGAGAGGACAACAUCCAAACUAUAUCAAUAGUAUUUGUUGCAUUUUUUUGCAUUUCCUAAUAAAAACUUAAAUAUGUGAGCUAUCCAAACAAACAUAUCCAAAUGGGCCCCAAUAUUUAUAACUUAUAAUAUGGUAGUGACUCAUGAGGAAGAAAUGAUAGGGGCAGGAGGGCAUUUGAGAAGGCAACAGUGUACAGGGCUCUGCAGGAGGCCCUGAGGUCACACAGUACACUGGAAAAGACUCCAGACUCCCUGGGAUGGAGGCUGCAGGGAUGGGGAAGAAAAGUGGAUCCAGGAGGCCUGGGUUCUAGUCUUCCUCCACAGCUAAAAACUUAGUGCUCUGGACAAGCCCUUCAUCUCCCUGGGCCUCAGGUGUCUCAUCUAUAAAAUGAGCAUGCUUGGACCUUAUCUGGAAGAAAUGCUUUCCUGAUGUUCUUUCCAGGGCUUGCCAUGCUUAUUUCUUGCACUCUAGGAUUAAGGACAAGUAUUUUCAGUUCUCCCUACUACUGGCUGGCUGUGUGAGCCAUUUCUCUGCAAACAGGAGUAUUCUUGCUGUUCCUCUGGUCAAUCCAGAAGCUCAUGGGAAAGUGCUCUGCAAUCUUGAACAGGAAGCAAGGAAUGUGUCAUCCCUACUAAGAUCACCUUUCCUCUUCUCCUGUUCUCAGAGAUCCCCAGAAGCACCCCUGGGUCAACAGCCACCUUUGCCGGUAUUGACUGGGAAGAGUCCCCAAGAGUGGUAUUGGGUCCAGGCAGUUGUAGCACAUGAACCCUUGUGAGUGGAGGUUGACCUUCAGGAUGGUGGUGCUCACCCCGCUGAAGGAUUCUGGGCAAACUAAGCAAAGGGUUAGUUUACAAUUUUCCCUCCUGGUUUUUUUUUUUUUUUUUCCCUUGGAGGCUUAAAGAAGAACAAAUUCUUAUCCGCAGUAUCCUGUUCCCAGACUCCCAUCUUCUUGCCUCCCCAUGGGUCCUUAGCCUCCCUUAAAUCCUUUAGAAAAGAGCUGGCUCCCAGAAGAUACGGGGAGAACUGCAAUUUGCCCUUUUCCAAAGCCUAUCAUUCAUUCUGGGUCUUUUUCUCAUCCCCUCGCUUCCAGUUCUAAUUUGGUGCCUGGGGCCGCUCUCUUCUUGAAUGAUUAGAACCAGAGGGCAAUCAAAAAGAAACGAACUUAAUGCAGAGGAGAGAGGGGAGCCAGCAGCUUUGGGGACAUUUCUCUUCCCUCAAGGGAUGAGGUAGAUUUUCCUAAAUCUAUAAUUAACAAGAUGAAAAAAGACACUUCAAGAAUUCAUAACUCUCGGAAAAUACUCCAGUUUGGGAAACACUGGUCUGGAACUUGUGGUGAGUCAGCUCUUGAUUCGUGAAGACAGAGAUGCACAGUUACCACAUUGAGAAGAUAGUAGAUGAUGUAAACCCAUUGGAGAAAUGGAAACUUUCCCAUGGGAAAGGCUGCAUGGGUGGAGGAAGCAGUCCUCUGGUGGAAUAGAAUGAUAACAUACCAUUCAUCACAGCCCCAGGUAUUGUGCUAAGUGCUUCACAUUUAACUCAUACAACCACCCAUGAAGUAGGUCCAAUUAUUAGCCCCAUUUUGCAGGUGAAGAAAUAGAACCAUGCAAAUCUAUGCAGUUUUCCUAAGACCCUACAGCCAGUUAAAGCCACCGAAGCAACAAAUGCUGACAUCUAGAAGAAUGUGUGAAUAGGUGGCUGGAGUCAACAAACGCCUAAUUAAUCAAUUGGUGUCAUCUUAUACACCCAUCCCUCCAAAAGUUGCUAUUAUUUACUUUCCCUGGCCCCAGAAAAAGGGAGACCCCAGGACAGUGUCCUGGACUGGAAUUAGGACUGCUCCAUUCUAUAAACAGGUCAGCCCCUCAUUCUGUGUGUGACCUUGAGUGAGUGAGACCCUUCCUGAUCCUAGGUCUUGGUCUCUACAUCUGUCAGAGGAGGUAGUGAGACCAGCUGGCUUCGAAAGUUCAACCCAGUCCCACCGUUCCAGUACAUGCCAGUCUACCUGACUCCAUGGGGGAGGUUUUGGGGGUGGGGUGGAUCUUCACGUUGCAGCUGCUGUUUAUGACUUUUCCAAGGCCCCUCCUGCCUGGGCUCCUCGCCCCCGUGCUUGGCAUGCUUGGCUCUGUCUUGCAGCGAAGCGAGCUGUGUAGGAGUUUCUAGCUGCCUGUCUCUUUUGGGUUCUCCCUUUUGGGAUGUCUUUUCACACCUCCAAGUGCUGGGUGGGAGUGGACGAAUGCCACAUGUUUGGCUCUGAUGCCUUCCUUUCCCCUCUGUGGGAUGCUUCCAGCCCAAGAUCUGAGCAUGGAUGCCUCUGUGCUGACCCUUUGUGAGGCUGCUGGGUCAUGUCUGCAGAGCAGCAACCCAUCACCACAGCACUCUUCCUUACUCCCGGAAGGCCAGCAGAAGCUGCUCCUUUGCUGGAGCUUGUCCCCACCCAAUGGAGGGGGCUGAUUAAUUAUGUAGCCUCAGGCAAGUCACAUCUCCUCAUUGGGCCUCAGUUUUUACAUUUGUAAAAUGAAAGGAUUAGACCAGACAGGCCCCUAGGAUACUCCCAACUCUAAUGUUGUGCAGUUUAUUUCAUUUCUGUUUGUUUCAUGUCAUUCCCAGUGCCCUCAUAUCCUUCGUGUCUUGUAGACAUCAUAUCUGCCAGCUGAGAUUUUUAGCUGCUUCAAACACCCCACUGGAGGGACAUAUCUCAGCAUGCUAAGAUGAAUAUUUUGUUGGAAUAACUUGCUAUUAAAA